GUUCUUUUCUUUUUCUCUUUUUCAUUCUUUCUUGAUGUUCUUUUCUAUAUCAUCCCUUGUUGAUGUUCUUUGGUCUGGAUGAGCCUUUUUCUCCCCAGAAGAGACUCACCCAUAAUUUUGGUGAUGUUAGUGUGGGCCGAAAGGUGGAUGAUGUUUCUUUGUACUUUUCGUUUCUUGAUGUUGUUAUUUUAUUGCUGCUACUUUUCUUUUUCGAUGUUUUUUUCUAUUCUUUUUUCUUUUCUAUAUUUUCUAGAUGUUCUUUUCUAUAUCAUCCUUUUGUUGAUGUUCUUUGGUCUGGAUGAGCCUUUUUCUCCCCAGAAAAGACUCACCCAGAAUUUUGUCGAUGUUAGUUAGGGCCGAAAAGUGGAUGAUGUGUGUUUGCUUUUUCUUUUCUCGAUGUUUCGUUUCUAUAUUUUCCUUUUUCUGGUGUUCUUUUUCAUUUUCAUUUUCUUUGGUGUUCCCAUCACGUGGAUUGUCUACGACAUCUAACGGGCACCACAAACCCGGGUUUGUUGUUCGGAGUUUGCUCUCCUAGGCGAACUGCCUACCACGGCUAACGAGCUCCACCUGCCCGGGUUUGUUGUUCGGAGUUUGCUCUCCUAGGUGAACUGCCUACCACGGCUAACGAGCUCCACCUGCCCGGGUUUGUUGUUCGGAGUUUGCUCUCCUAGGUGAACUGCCUACCACGGCUAACGACCUCCACCUGCCCGGGUUUGUUGUUCGGAGUUUGCUCUCCUAGGUGAACUGCCUACCACGGCUAACGAGCUCCACCUGCCCGGGUUUGUUGUUCGGAGUUUGCUCUCCUAGGUGAACUGCCUACCACGGCUAACGAGCUCCACCUGCCCGGGUUUGUUUAGAGUUUGCUCUCCUAGGUGAACUGCCUACCACGGCUAACGACCUCCACCUGCCCGGGUUUGUUUAGAGUUUGCUCUCCUAGGUGAACUGCCUACCACGGCUAACGAGCUCCACCUGCCCGGGUUUGUUGUUCGGAGUUUGCUCUCCUAGGUGAACUGCCUACCACGGCUAACGACCUCCACCUGCCCGGGUUUGUUGUUCGGAGUUUGCUCUCCUAGGUGAACUGCCUACCACGGCUAACGACCUCCACCUGCCCGGGUUUGUUGUUCGGAGUUUGCUCUCCUAGGUGAACUGCCUACCACGGCUAACGACCUCCACCUGCCCGGGUUUGUUGUUCGGAGUUUGCUCUCCUAGGUGAACUGCCUACCACGGCUAACGAGCUCCACCUGCCCGGGUUUGUUUAGAGUUUGCUCUCCUAGGUGAACUGCCUACCACGGCUAACGAGCUCCACCUGCCCGGGUUUGUUGUUCGGAGUUUGCUCUCCUAGGUGAACUGCCUACCACGGCUAACGAGCUCCACCUGCCCGGGUUUGUUUAGAGUUUGCUCUCCUAGGUGAACUGCCUACCACGGCUAACGAGCUCCACCUGCCCGGGUUUGUUUAGAGUUUGCUCUCCUAGGUGAACUGCCUACCACGGCUAACGAGCUCCACCUGCCCGGGUUUGUUUAGAGUUUGCUCUCCUAGGUGAAUUGCCUACCACGGCUAACGACCUCCACCUACCCGGGUUUGUUUGGAGUUUGCUCUCCUAGGUGAACUGCCUACCACGGCUAACGACCUCCACCUGCCCGGGUUUGUUGUUCGGAGUUUGCUCUCUUAGGCAUAUUGCCUACCACGGUUAUGGAACCCCACUGCUCGGCUUUGUAGCCGGAAGAUCUCGGGCACCUCCGUCGGGGCCCCGGGGGACGCCUAGGUGCCUUGCCUGGAGCCCUCUACUCCUACCACGCUCGCCAGGGAGACCUUGGGCUCGCUGGCGCUGCCCCGCCCCGCCGAGGCGAGGAGGGCGAAUGCAAGAA